CGCGAGGGUAGGCCGGGCUGUAUCACCGUGACAUCACCUCCAUUCCGGGCGCUUAUCGGGCGCCAGCAGCGCUCCAGGAAACUGUCACUCCAGCCAGAGAGGCCUGAAUGUGCGAGCCUCCCACACUGGCCUUCCUGUGGCUGGCUCACACUGCCUCCCCCACUGUACCUCAAUCCGGGAUGUUUGUUCUCAGCUCCUCUCAGCCUGCCAGGGACCAUCUCUCUUUCAAGCCCUGGGAUCCUACUGGAAAGAGCACUGGCGACAAGAGUCCUCUUUCUCCCUGGAGAAGGGCUCUACUAAUCUUUUGUGCUGAGAUUACAGGUAUGCAAUACCACGCCCUGUUUAUUCAGUGAUGGAGAUGAACUCAGGGCUUCAAGCAUGCUAGGUAAGCAUUCUACUGACUGAAUGACUUUUC